AUCCAGCUGACGAGUUCCAAAUAGGAUGAAACACGCGUCCUGGGU
rfam:Schistosoma curassoni strain Dakar, Senegal genome assembly, scaffold: SCTD_contig0000916